rnacentral:rRNA from 1 species
GACAGAGGGUGCAAACGUUGUUCGGAAUUACUGGGCGUAAAGCGCGUGUAGGCGGCUUCGCAAGUCGGAUGUGAAAUCCCACGGCUCAACCGUGGAAGUGCAUUCGAAACUGCAAGGCUAGAGUUCUGGAGAGGAAGGUGGAAUGCGUUGGUGUAGAGGUGAAAUUCGUAGAUAUCAAGCGGAACACCGGAUGGCGAAGGCGGCCUCUGGACAGUAACUGACGCUGAGACGCGAAAGCGUGGGGAGCAAACAGG